GGUUGCGUAGUGUAGUGGUUAUCACUCCAGAUUUUGACUUCUCAGAACAUUCUGGUAACCCCGGUUCGAACCCGGGCGCGACCU